rnacentral:misc_RNA from 1 species
AAGUCGUAACAAGGUUUCCGUAGGUGAACCUGCGGAAGGAUCAUUGCAAAAAUGGAAGUGAGAAAUUUGUAGGAAUGUGUGCGGGAAAUCAAGUUUGACAACAAUACAUACUAUAUCAUCAUCAUAUACAACUCUCCACAAUGGAUCUCUGGGCUCUU